UUCCGGUUGAUCCUGCCGGAGGCCAUUGCUAUUGGAGUCCGAUUUACCCAUGCUAGUCGAGCGGGUUCAGACCCGCGGCGAAGAGCUCAGUGACACGUGGCCAAACUACCCUGUGGAGACGGACAACCUCGGGAAACUGAGGCUAACCCGUCACACCGCUCCCACGCUGGAAUGCCGGGAGCCCGAAACGCUUCGGCGCCACAGGAUGUGGCUGCGGCCGAUUAGGUAGACGGUGGGGUAACGGCCCACCGUGCCGAUAAUCGGUACGGGUUGUGAGAGCAAGAGCCCGGAGACGGAAUCUGAGACAAGAUUCCGGGCCCUACGGGGCGCAGCAGGCGCGAAACCUUUACACUGCACGCGAGUGCGAUAAGGGGACUCCAAGUGCGAGGGCAUACAGUCCUCGCUUUUCUGGACCGUAAGGUGGUCCAGGAACAAGUGCUGGGCAAGACCGGUGCCAGCCGCCGCGGU
rnacentral:rRNA from 1 species